rnacentral:rRNA from 1 species
GACGAACGCUGGCGGCGUGCUUAACACAUGCAAGUGGAGCGACGAACCAGGCUUCGGCCUGGGGCAGAGCCGCGAACGGGUGAGUAUCACGUGGGUAACGUGCCCCGAUGACCGGGACAACCCGGGGAAACCCGGGCUAAUACCGGAUGUGCUGUCCCCGCAUCAGCGGGGAUUGGAAAGGAAGCUCCGGCCUCCGCAUCGGGAUCGGCCCGCGGCCCAUUAGCUUGUUGGUGAGGUAACGGCUCACCAAGGCCGCGACGGGUAGCGGGUCUGAGAGGACGAUCAGCCACACUGGGACUUAGACACGGCCCAGACUACUACGGGAGGCAGCAGUGGGGAAUCUUGCGCAAUGCGCGAAUGCGUGACGCAGCAACGCCGCGUGGGGGAAGAAGGCCUUCGGGUUGUAAACCCCUUUCAGGAGGGACGAAGGUUGGGCGGUGAAUAGCCGACCUGACUGACGGUACCUCCAGAAGAAGCCCCGGCUAACUACGUGCCAGCCGCCGCGGUAACAC